CACUUUAAUCACGGUGGAUCACUCGGCUCUUGGGCCGAUGAAGAACGCAGCAAACAGUGCGCCAUCGUGUGAACUGCAGGACACAUGAAUAACGACAUUUUGAACGCAUAUCACAGUCCAUGCUGUAAAGUACUUUAAUUAUAUUUUGAAGUCCUGCUUGGGCUAUAUAUGGUUGAGCGGUG
rnacentral:rRNA from 1 species